rnacentral:hammerhead_ribozyme from 1 species
AGGCGAAACGCUGGCGUUUUUACGACCAGCGUCACCGGGGGAUAGGUGCCCACGGUCUGACGAGCCAGCCCGCU